rnacentral:rRNA from 1 species
UACGAAGGGGGCGAGCGUUUGUUCGGAUUUACUGGGCGUAAAGGGCGCGUAGGCGGCGCUUCAAGUCGCGUGUGAAAGCCCCGGGCUCAACCUGGGAGGUGCGCGCGAGACUGUUGGUGCUGGGAGUUCGGGAGAGGAGCGUGGAAUUCCCAGUGUAGAGGUGAAAAUUUCGUAGAUAUUUCGCAAAGAAACACCCAGUGGCGAAGGCGGCUCACUGGCCCCGGAACUGA